GAUGAACGCUGGCGGCGUGCUUAACACAUGCAAGUCGAACGGAAAGGCUCCUGCUUGCAGGGGUACUCGAGUGGCGAACGGGUGAGUAACACGUGGGUGAUCUGCCCUGCACUUCGGGAUAAGCCUGGGAAACUGGGUCUAAUACCGGAUAGGACGAUGGUUUGGAUGCCAUUGUGGAAAGUUUUUUCGGUGUGGGAUGAGCUCGCGGCCUAUCAGCUUGUUGGUGGGGUAAUGGCCUACCAAGGCGUCGACGGGUAGCCGGCCUGAGAGGGUGUACGGCCACAUUGGGACUGAGAUACGGCCCAGACUCCUACGGGAGGCAGCAGUGGGGAAUAUUGCACAAUGGGCGCAAGCCUGAUGCAGCGACGCCGCGUGGGGGAUGACGGCCUUCGGGUUGUAAACUCCUUUCGCUAGGGACGAAGCGCAAGUGACGGUACCUGGAGAAGAAGCACCGGCUACUACGUG
rnacentral:rRNA from 1 species